GGCGAUCAUUGACUUUUGCUUCGAGUUGCGGCGCGCUGCCGCCUCCGCUGCUCACAUUUUGUUUUUGGUUUUACAAUUUUUCGGCUGGCCUUUAAAAUUUUUGCUCGCUGCUGUUGCUGGGCUUUUGCAUACACUACAAACGCGCGCGGUGUCGCAGAUAUGUACUAAGUAUUUACUUAUAUGUAUGUAUUGACAUUAGUUAGAAUUAUGCUUACAUGUAUUGAAAUUUACUUUGGGGAUUACAUGUUGUAGUCAGUUGGAAUUAUCGCAAGCUCAUCUUCAUAAUAUAUCGCAAUGUAUUUUUGGAGAGCAGUAUCGAAGUUAUUACAGUCGGUUAGAUUUAUCGCAAGUUCCUGCUCACAAUUUAUCAAAAUGCAUUUUGUGGAGUGCAUAUCGAAGUCGCUCCCCCAAAAGAGCAAUGCGAACUUUUGCAGCCCCGUUGACAUGUUAAUGACAUUUUUAUAAUGCGUACGAACAAACAACAACAACACCAAAGGCGGAUGCUGCAUUUCGCUUUAUUAAUGGAGCAGUACGAAGGGAUGGGAAGUAAGGGAGCAGUAAGCGUUGAGAAUUUUGCCAACAACAAAUCGCUUUUGGCAGUUCGCGCUCACUUUUUGUUGUUUUUGUUGUGUUUUUGGCAAAGGGAGCGGUCGCGGUUCACAAAAUACGUACAUAAUGCAUUACUUCCAUUGAGUUCACGAGAUUUAAACACAUUUUGAUAUACGACGCAUAUUUGUUGUUGUGAUCACUUACAUAAUUACGUUCACACAUACAAACGCGAGUAUUAAUAUAAAUUUAAAUUAAAAUAAUAUAUGCAGAUGUACACACAUACAUAUGUACAUAUGUAUGCAAAAAGGUAACGAGUACACUGAACUCGACGCAAGCGCGUGCGCUGUAACAAAUUUUUUAUUUUACUGGCAACAAUGACGCGAUCAACAGCAGCAAGGAAAGCAAAAGCUUUUUCCUUUUAUUGCGUGAGUACACACACAACCACGCACACACCAAUGAGCGUGCGCACUCUCACAAUCCAAAUUGGCGAAUGUGUAGAACCAAAACAAAAGCACAAACACGCAGCAAAUUGGCGGCGAAAGAACAGAAGUUGUAUUGCUGUCGUCGCCGCGGGCAUUUUAUAAAAUGCGCUACUACUUUCGGUGAAGAAGAAGACGAAGAAGCAGCGUCGAGGUCUGUCGUUUGCCUUGGCCCCAUUUCGCUCACCACUCUCCACUCUGCGAGCGAAAGAGAUAGCCACUGUUCUUGUUCGUGGUCAAACGAAGUGCUUAAGGAAAUGAUUCGCAUUCCUCAGCAAGAGUUUUCUUCGCUGGGUUUCGGCAACAGGUGUGGCCCCACAUACACACACACACACAUAUUUGACGUAGCCCUUGGACAUUGAACUCUACCGUGUCCGUCAUGGGAAUGACGUGUUCGACAUCCUUAUCGCACUCAAAACGCAACGUGACGUCUCUUUCUUUCCAAUUUCUACAAGCUGGACAGUGCUGUGGCGAUGACUCAUUUGGAGAGCACCCGCGUAGCUAGUCGAUUUCGAUUUCUAACCUACAUUAAGUGACGAAGCGUCGCGCGCGUGUCGUCGACGUCGACGUCGCUGCUGCUAUCGACGCUGAUUUCAAUUUCGUAUGCGCCGCUCACUUAACCAUUUACUAUCAUACGCUCUCGCUCUCUCCCUCUUGUUCUCUCACCUUUUGGACCUAGGUCUACAAAAGAGUUGAAAACGCACACAAUAAUUACGUGUAUGGGCUUUACUCUAAAUCGCAUUGACUUCUGUGGGGUAAUACAAUUAAAAAUCUCUCCAUUCUAUGAGAUUAUUAUUGUGAUACCGAGUUUGCCAUAAAAAAAAAGUCCAAUCAGGCAGGCAAACAAAGCGAAAACACUAAAUGCUCUUGCCCAAAAAUAAAACAAAAACAAAAAAAAGCACAAAGCGCAGAACAAAAAAAAAAGAA